GGGCUUCCAAAGACGAGACGUUGGUGAUGUUCUGCUGCUGCCGGGCGGGCCAGCCUGUAAGCUCAGGCGUUGGCGGGAGCCUCGUGCUCCGCGGGGCUUCUUGAAGAGGGUGAGGUGUGGGGGUACCGUCCUGUAGGCAGGGCUGUGUGUGCCCCCCGUGUGUGCUUGGUGAGCUGUGUUCUGAGAGACCCCCUGUACUCAGGUGGGAAUGUGGCCCCGGCCUUUCAGAGGCGCGGGGCCGUGAGAUGCGGGGUGGGGCUUGCGCCCUCCCUGGAAUCGGGGCUGGGAUCCCGACUGCGGCCUUUGGCCGUGCCGCCCCGCUGCCUGGCUGCUGAGAGUUGCUCCUGCCGCUGGGGGGGAAACCGAGCUCUGUGGCUCCAGGGGUGUUGUCCACCCGCCUGUAAUCAGGGUCUGGGUGCGCGAGCGUUUGUGCUCUGCUGGCAGCCUGUGUGGGGUGACCGCCCCGCUAGCGGGGUGUGGGUCGAGGUGCCCCGGACUGGGAGAGAAGGAGCCUCCCUCGGCCGUAGGGAUGGGGGCUGCCCUGUAAGUCAGGGAGCAUCUGUGUCCCGGAGUCCCAGGCCCUUUUCAAUGGCGGCAGUGGCCGGGGGUCCCCUGUAAGCAGGGAAGCUGACUCUUUGGCUGCUGCUUUUUGUGUGCCCAGCCCCAUUUGCCCAGUCUGCCCGCCUCUGUGAUCCCCCGCAGCACUGGCUGGAAGUCCGCCGCGUGUCAGUGAGGAGCUGCUGCAGAAGGAAGAAGAAGAAGCGGCGUGGGGACCUGGGAGGCAGGAGCAAGCAAGAAGAGGAAGCGGAAGCGUGCAGAUGCGGGGGGGAAGGAGAGAGGCUCCCUGGGCAAAGCACCUGUCCCGUUAGCAGGGGCACAGUCACGUUUGAGUUGAGAGCUGCCGGCGCCUUUGGUGACCAGGCUGGCGUUGUGCUGGGCGACCUCCCCGUAAGCGGGGCUCAGGUCUUUGCUGUAGUUGGCCUUUUGCCUUGCUGCUCCUAGGGCUGCCUGGGGAGCGUGGCCCCCUGUAACGGAGGGCGAGAGCCACCUCUCCGCACCUGAGUGGGAAAUGGAGCUCGCCGGACCCCAAGGCCACCCUGUAAGCAGGGUAGUGCCGUUUCCCUGCCCCUCUUCC
ensembl:lncRNA